rnacentral:rRNA from 1 species
UACGACUACAUAUCAGGCAUAUCAAUAAGCGGAGGAAAAGAAACUAACAAGGAUUCCCCUAGUAACGGCGAGUGAAGCGGGAAGAGCUCAAAUUUGAAAUCUUAAAGGGUUUCCCUUUACGAAUUGUAGUUUAAAGAAGUGUUUUCUGUUGGAAUUUUCGGUAAAAGUUCUUUGGAAUAGGACAUCAUAGAGGGUGAGAAUCCCGUAUUUGACCGUUACUUUCCAGCUGUGUGAUACACUUUCAAAGAGUCGGAUUGUUUGGGAAUGCAGUCCAAGAUGGGUGGUAAAUUUCAUCUAAAGCUAAAUAUUGGCGAGAGACCGAUAGCGAACAAGUACCGUGAGGGAAAGAUGAAAAGAACUUUGAAAAGAGAGUUAAACAGUACGUGAAAUUGUCAAAAGGGAAGCGUUUGACACCAGUGUUGUUUUUCCGAAAAUCAAUUACGAAUGGCUUGAUUCUGUGUUGUAUUGACCUUAUCAGCUUUCUGCACUUUUUUCGAGUCUUUCUUAAUGCACUUUUCGGUUAACAAGUCAACAUCAAUUUCUUUUGUUGUAAAAGAGUAUUCGGAAGGUGGCUUUCUUUUCGGAGAAAGUGUUUAUAGCCCUAUACUUCUACAAUCGGAGAGAUUGAGGUCUGCAGCGUAGAUCCUUCGGGGUUAGAUACAUUUGUGCUAAGUUGUAGCUUUUCAUAGACAACUUGUUGACUAUGUUUAGUCAUGCGGCUUACUCGCUUAUGCUAUUUUACCUACGCUUAGGAUGUUGAGUAGCGACAUACGCAC